CAGAUUGCUUUGCGGAGAAGAGUACCUGAAGCGCAGAUCACAAGCGAGCCUGAACAGUGAAAGCAGGCGAUCAGUUAAUCAGGGAAGAUGAGCUCCAAACAGCUUUUCAGCGGUUCACGCCACUGAAACGGGCGCACCCGUUACCAUGCCGGGUAUCAAAAUUGGUACCGUUGAGGCAUUGGCAUCAAAACCAGUGCGAAUAAGGGUGGUAACGCGCAAAGUCGCCCCUUGA
rnacentral:ncRNA from 1 species